GAUGAACGCUGGCGGCGUGCCUAAUACAUGCAAGUCGAACGCUGGAAAUCUAGCUUGCUAGCUUGAAGGAGUGGCGAACGGGUGAGUAAUACAUAAGCAACCUACCCACGAAGACUGGGAUAAUCUCUGGAAACGGGGACUAAUACCGGAUAGGUAAUCGGAAGGCAUCUUCUGAUUAUUAAAGGUUAAAAACACUGGUGGAUGGGCUUAUGGCGCAUUAGUUAGUUGGUGAGGUAACGGCCCACCAAGACGAUGAUGCGUAGCCGGCCUGAGAGGGUGAACGGCCACAUUGGGACUGAGACACGGCCCAGACUCCUACGGGAGGCAGCAGUAGGGAAUUUUCGGCAAUGGGGGAAACCCUGACCGAGCAACGCCGCGUGAGUGAUGACGGCCUUCGGGUUGUAAAGCUCUGUUGUAAGGGAAGAACGGUAGAUAGAGAAUAUCUAAAUGACGGUACCUUACCAGAAAGCCACGGCUAACUACGUG
rnacentral:rRNA from 1 species